rnacentral:rRNA from 1 species
CCAGACUCCUACGGGAGGCAGCAGUGGGGAAUAUUGCACAAUGGGCGAAAGCCUGAUGCAGCAACGCCGCGUGAGCGAUGAAGGCCUUCGGGUCGUAAAGCUCUGUCCUCAAGGAAGAUAAUGACGGUACUUGAGGAGGAAGCCCCGGCUAACUACGUGCCAGCAGCCGCGGUAAUACGUAGGGGGCUAGCGUUAUCCGGAAUUACUGGGCGUAAAGGGUGCGUAGGUGGUUUCUUAAGUCAGAGGUGAAAGGCUACGGCUCAACCGUAGUAAGCCUUUGAAACUGGGAAACUUGAGUGCAGGAGAGGAGAGUGGAAUUCCUAGUGUAGCGGUGAAAUGCGUAGAUAUCUGGAGGAACGUCAGUGGCGAAGGCGACUAUCUGGCACAUAACUGACGCUGAGGAGCGAAAGCGUGGGUAGCAAACAGGAUUAGAUACCCGGGUAC